UACGAACCGGACGAACGUUAUUCGGAAUCAUUGGGCUUAAAGGGUGCGUAGGCGGCCGCGUAAGUCGGGUGUGAAAUCCCUCGGCUCAACCGAGGAAUUGCGCCCGAUACUGCGUGGCUAGAGGGAGACAGAGGCGAGCGGAACUGAUGGUGGAGCGGUGAAAUGCGUUGAUAUCAUCAGGAACACCGGUGGCGAAGGCGGCUCGCUGGGUCUCUUCUGACGCUCAGGCACGAAAGCUAGGGUAGCGAACAGG
rnacentral:rRNA from 1 species